UACGUAGGGUGCGAGCGUUAAUCGGAAUUACUGGGCGUAAAGCGUGCGCAGGCGGUAAGUUAAGUCUGAUGUGAAAGCCCCGGGCUCAACCUGGGAAUGGCAUUGGAAACUGGCUUGCUAGAGUGUGGCAGAGGGGGGUGGAAUUCCGCGUGUAGCAGUGAAAUGCGUAGAUAUCCGAAGGAACAUCAGUGGCGAAAGCGGCUUCCUGGUCCAGCACCGACGUUCAGGCACGAAAGCGUGGGGAGCGAACGGG
rnacentral:rRNA from 1 species